rnacentral:rRNA from 3 species
UGGCUCAGAUUGAACGCUGGCGGCAGGCCUAACACAUGCAAGUCGAGCGGAUGAGUGGAGCUUGCUCCAUGAUUCAGCGGCGGACGGGUGAGUAAUGCCUAGGAAUCUGCCUGGUAGUGGGGGACAACGUUUCGAAAGGAACGCUAAUACCGCAUACGUCCUACGGGAGAAAGUGGGGGAUCUUCGGACCUCACGCUAUCAGAUGAGCCUAGGUCGGAUUAGCUAGUUGGUGAGGUAAAGGCUCACCAAGGCGACGAUCCGUAACUGGUCUGAGAGGAUGAUCAGUCACACUGGAACUGAGACACGGUCCAGACUCCUACGGGAGGCAGCAGUGGGGAAUAUUGGACAAUGGGCGAAAGCCUGAUCCAGCCAUGCCGCGUGUGUGAAGAAGGUCUUCGGAUUGUAAAGCACUUUAAGUUGGGAGGAAGGGCAGUAAGUUAAUACCUUGCUGUUUUGACGUUACCAACAGAAUAAGCACCGGCUAACUUCGUGCCAGCAGCCGCGGUAAUACGAAGGGUGCAAGCGUUAAUCGGAAUUACUGGGCGUAAAGCGCGCGUAGGUGGUUCGUUAAGUUGGAUGUGAAAGCCCCGGGCUCAACCUGGGAACUGCAUCCAAAACUGGCGAGCUAGAGUAUGGCAGAGGGUGGUGGAAUUUCCUGUGUAGCGGUGAAAUGCGUAGAUAUAGGAAGGAACACCAGUGGCGAAGGCGACCACCUGGGCUAAUACUGACAC